AGCGAACGCUGGCGGCAGGCCUAACACAUGCAAGUCGAACGAUCCUUCGGGAUAGUGGCGGACGGGUGAGUAACACGUGGGAACGUGCCCUUUGGUUCGGAACAACUCAGGGAAACUUGAGCUAAUACCGAAUGUGCCCUUCGGGGGAAAGAUUUAUCGCCAUUGGAGCGGCCCGCGUCUGAGUAGCUAGUUGGUGAGGUAAUGGCUCACCAAGGCGACGAUCAGUAGCUGGUCUGAGAGGAUGAUCAGCCACACUGGGACUGAGACACGGCCCAGACUCCUGCGGGAGGCAGCAGUGGGGAAUCUUGCGCAAUGGGCGAAAGCCUGACGCAGCCAUGCCGCGUGAAUGAUGAAGGUCUUAGGAUUGUAAAAUUCUUUCACCGGGGACGAUAAUGACGGUACCCGGAGAAGAAGCUCCGGCUAACUUCGUGCCAGCCGCCGCGGUAACAC
rnacentral:rRNA from 1 species